GUGGGGAAUAUUGGACAAUGGGGGGAACCCUGAUCCAGCCAUGCCGCGUGUGUGAAGAAGGCCUUUUGGUUGUAAAGCACUUUAAGCGAGGAGGAGGCUACCGAGAUUAAUACUCUUGGAUAGUGGACGUUACUCGCAGAAUAAGCACCGGCUAACUCUGUGCCAGCAGCCGCGGUAAUACAGAGGGUGCAAGCGUUAAUCGGAUUUACUGGGCGUAAAGCGCGCGUAGGUGGCCAAUUAAGUCAAAUGUGAAAUCACCGAGCUUAACUUGGGAAUUGCAGUCGAUACUGGUUGGCUAGAGUAUGGGAGAGGAUGGUAGAAUUCCAGGUGUAGCGGUGAAAUGCGUAGAGAUCUGGAGGAAUACCGAUGGCGAAGGCAGCCAUCUGGCCUAAUACUGACACUGAGGUGCGAAAGCAUGGGGAGCAAACAGGAUUAGAAACCCGGGUAGUCC
rnacentral:rRNA from 1 species